rnacentral:rRNA from 1 species
UACGUAGGGUGCAAGCGUUAUCCGGAAUUAUUGGGCGUAAAGAGCUCGUAGGCGGUUUGUCGCGUCUGCUGUGAAAACUGGAGGCUCAACCUCCAGCCUGCAGUGGGUACGGGCAGACUAGAGUGUGGUAGGGGAGACUGGAAUUCCUGGUGUAGCGGUGAAAUGCGCAGAUAUCAGGAGGAACACCGAUGGCGAAGGCAGGUCUCUGGGCCACUACUGACGCUGAGAAGCGAAAGCAUGGGGAGCGAACAGG